GGGCGCGUGGUUUAGGGGUAUAACGUUCCUUUCGCACAUCACUGUAUAUCUAUAUACAAUGUAUACUAUGUCAGUGAAAAAAUCGUGAGAUUAGGAAAGGUCUUGGGUUCGAUUCCCAACCCGUCCA